rnacentral:rRNA from 1 species
GCGUAGAGAGUAGGUGGAACACGAGUGGCGCAGGCGGAAGUGGGGACUGUAACUGACGCGGAGGCACGAAAGCGUGGGGAGCAAACAGGAUUAGAUACCGUGGUAGUCCACGCUGUAAACGAUGAGUACUAGGGGUCGGGGGUUACCUCUCUCGGUGCCGCAGCUAACGUAUGAAGUACUCCGUCUGGGAAGUACGCGCGCAAGAGUGAAACUCAAAGGAAUGGACGGGGACCCGAACAAGUAGCGGAGCAUGUGGUUUAAUUCGAAGCAACGCGAAGAACCUUACCUAAGCUUGACCUCCCAAUGACAUCUCCUGAAGCGGAGAGUUCCCUUCGGGGACAUUGGUGACAGGUGGUGCAUGGUUGUCGUCAGCGCGUGUCGUGAGAUGUUGGGUUAAGUCCCGCAACGAGCGCAACCCUUGUCUUUAGUUG